AGCAGCCGCGGUAAUUCCAGCUCCAAUAGCGUAUAUUAAAGUUGUUGCAGUUAAAAAGCUCGUAGUUGAAUUUCGGGAUCAGUACGCUGGUCAUGCCUUUGGUAUGCACUGGUGUCACUGGUUUCUCCCUUCUGAAGAACCGUGAUGUCAUUAAUUUGGUGUCGCGGGGAAUCAGGACUGUUACUUUGAAAAAAUUGAGUGUUUAAAGCAGGCUCACGCUUGAAUACAUUAGCAUGGAAUAAUGAAAUAGGACGUUUGACCCUAUUUUGUUGGUUUCUAGGAUCGACGUAAUGAUUAAUAGGGAUAGUUGGGGGCAUUAGUAUUCAAUUGUCAGAGGUGAAAUUCUUGGAUUUAUUGAAGACUAACUACUGCGAAAACAUUUGCCAAGGAUGUUUUCAUUAAUCAAGAACGAAAGUUAGGGAUCGAAGACGAUCAGAUACCGUCGUAGUC
rnacentral:rRNA from 1 species